GACAGAGGGUGCAACCGUUGUUCAGAAUUACUGGGCGUAAAGCGCGUGUAGGCGGCUGUGCAAGUCGGGUGUGAAAGCCCCGGGCUCAACCCGGGAAGUGCAUUCGAUACUGCGCAGCUGGAGUCCCGGAGAGGAUGGUGGAAUUCUCGGUGUAGAGGUGAAAUGCGUAGAUAUCGUUUGGAACGCCAAUGGUGAAAACAGGUAACUGGGAGUGUGCCGACGCUGAGACACGAAAGCUAGGGGAGCGAACGGG
rnacentral:rRNA from 1 species